CCCCAGCUCAGGCGAGAACACCCGCUGAGUUUAAGCAUAUAAUUAAGUGGAGGAAAAGAAACUUACAAGGAUUCCCCUAGUAACGGCGAGCAAACCAGGAAGAGCCCAGCAUGAAAAUUGGGUGACAGCAUUGCCUGAAUUGUAGUCUAUAGAAGCAUCCUUAGCAAUGGACCAGGACCAAAUCCCCUGGAAGGGGACACCUGAGAGGGUGACAGCCCCGUCGGGCCGGGACCCUACCACUCCAAGAGGCAUUGUCAGCGAGUCGGGUUGUUUGGGAAUGCAGCCCUAAUCGGGUGGUAAAUUUUGUCCAAGCUUAAAUAUGGGUGAGAUACCGAUAGCAAACAAGUACCAUGAGGGAAAGAUGAAAAGGAAUUUGAAAAGAGAGUUAAAGAGUGUGUGAAAUUUCCAGGAGGGAAUCGGAUGGAGGCCGACGAUGCGUCUCAGUCAGAUGUGGAAUGGAUCAAGUUGGUCCACCACUUGACUCGAGGUGCGAACCAACACAGGCCAUUGCAUUGGCACAAGCAUGGGUGGAGUAUUGUCUAUUGGUUUGUCAUUGUGGUGGUCGAGGAAUGAAGCAUGCACCCUUGGGAUGGGCCACUUUUCACUUGCACGCUCGUGGUGUUGGUUGGCGGGAUUUCCAUUCGACCUGUCUUGAAACAUGGACCAAGGAGUCUAACAUGUGUGUGAUUCUAUGGGUUUGUAAACCUGUGAGGCGUAAGGAAGCUAACGGGCAAGAACCCCUCUCCAUGGGGUGCAUUAUCGACUGACCUUGAGCUUGUGUGAAGGGUUUGAGUGUGAGCACAGCUAUUGGGACCCAAAAUAUGGUGAACUAUGCCCGAGUAGGUGGAAGCCAGAGGAAACUCUAGUGAAGAGUCGUUGCGAUACUGACAUGCAAAUCAUUCAUCUAACUUGGGUAUAGGGGAAAAAGACUAAUCAAACCAUCUAGUAGCUGGUUUCCUCCGAAGUUUCCCUCAGGAUAGCUGGAGCUCAUGUGCGAGUUUUAUUUGGUAAAGAAAAUGAUUAGAGGCAUUGAGAGCGUAAUGCCCUCGACCUAUUCUCAAACUUUAAAUAGGUAAGACAGUGCGGCUGCUCCAUUGAGCCGUGCCACGGAAUCGAGAGCUCCAAGUGGGCCAUUUUUGGUAAGCAGAACUGGCAAUGCGGGAUGAAUCUAAAGUUGAGUUAUGGUGCCAAACUGCGCACUAACCCAGAUCCCACAAAGGGCGUUGGUUGAUUAAGACAGCAGGACGGUGGUCAUGGAAGUCAAAAUCCACUAAGGAGUGUGUAACAACUCACCUUUCGAAUCAACUAGCCCCGAAAAUGGAUGGUGUUGAAGCGCGUGACAUAUACUCGACCGUCGGAGCAAUUGUCAGUAUUCGAUGAGUAGGAGGACAUGGGGGUCAUUGAGAAACCUUGGGUGUGAGCCUGGGUGGACCAGUCCCCGGUGAAGAUCUUGGUGGUAGUAGAAAAUAUUCAAAUGAGAACAUUGAAGCCUGAAGUGGGGAAAAGUUCCAUGUGAACAACACUUGGACAUGGGUUAGAUGAUCCUAAGAUAUGGGGAAGCCUUGUAUCAAGGGUGCACUCUGCACAAACAUCAAAAGGGAAUCGAGUUAAUAAUCCUGAACCAGGACAUGACGGCAGACAACAACGUUAGGAAAUCCAGAGACAUCGUCAGGGGCCCUGGGAAGAGUUAUAUUUUCUUUUUAAUAGCUUGCCCACUCUAAAAUCGGCUCAACCAGAGAUAGGGUCCAGUAGCUAGAAGAGCAUCACACGUCUUGCAGUUUCUGGUGCACCUUCGAUGACCCUUUAAAAUCUGGAGGACCGAGUAUCAUCCAUGCCCGAUCAUACUCAUAACCACAUCAGGUCUCCAAGGUGAACAACCUCUGGUCAAUAGAACAAUGUAGGUAAGAGAAGUCGGUAAAAUGGAUCUGUAACUUCAGGAAAAGGAUUGGCUCUGAGGGCUGGGCAUAGGGGUCUGCAUCCUCAACCCAUGGGUUGUCGAUAGUCUACCCAAGAUGCUAUCGUAGUGAAGGUGAGUAGUCGUGUGUCGAUUAGGCUACGAACGUAGAAUGUCCUCUCCCAGGGGAUUUUCCCUAGGCAGUGAAUAGUCGACUUAGAACUGGUACAGACAAGGGGAAUCUAACUAUUUAAUUAAAACAAAGCAUUGCGAUGGUCCCUGCAGAUGUUGAUGCAAUGUGAUUUCUUCCCAGUGCUCUGAAUGUCAAAGUGAAGAAAUUCAACCAAGCACGAAUAAACGACGGGAGUAACUAUGACUCCCUAAAGGUAGCCAAAUGCCUCAUCAUCUAAUUAGUGACACGCAUGAAUGGAUUAACAAGAUUCCCACUCUCCCUAUCUACUAUCUAGUGAAACCACAACCAAGGGAACGAGCUUGGCGGAAUCAAUGGGGAAAGAAGACCCUGUUGAGCUUGACUUUAGUCCAACUUUGUGAAAUGACUUGAGAGGUGUAGAAUAAGUGGGAGACAUUUUCAACGUAAGUGAAAUACCACUACUUUUAACUUUAUUUUAAUUAUUUCGUGGGGCAGAGACAGGGCAUUACCCCUCUUUUUGGCCUUAAGACACGUUUCGAUGGGUCGAUCUAGGCAGAAGACAUUGUCAAGUGGGGAGUUUGGCUGGGGCAUCACAUAUGUUAAAAGAUAAUGCAAGUGUCCUAAGAUGAGCUCAAUGAGAACAAAAAUCUCGUGUGGAACAAAAGGGUAAAAGCUCAUUUCAUUUUGUUUUUUAGUACGAAUACAAACCGUGAAAGCGUGGCCUAUCAAUCCUUUAGGAUUUCAGAAUUUGAAGCUAGAGGUGUCAGAAAAGUUACCACGAGGAUAACUGGCUUGUGGUAGCCAAGCGUUCAUAGUGACGUUUCUUUUUUAUCCUUCGAUGUCGACUCUUCCUAUGAUUAAGAAGCAGAAUUCACCAUGUGUUGGAUUGUUCACCCACCAAUAGGGAACGUGAGUUGGGUUUAGACUGUCAUGAGACAGGUUAGUUUUACCCUACUAAUGAAUCGCACCGCAAUAGUAAUUCAACUUAGUACAAGAGGAACCGUUGAUUCACACAAUUGGUCAUCGCGCUUGGUUGAAAAGCCAGUGGUGCAAAGCUACCGUGUGUCAGAUUAUGAUUGAACGCCUCUAAGUCAGAAUCCAUGCUAGAAGUGGCGCUUGUCACUCUUCCACUGUAUCUUGACCCACAGUAGGGGUGUCACUUCGGCACCCCCAGGGGUCCGUGUCACUUGCGAACCUUAGCUAGGAAGUGUCUCGGUCGGGGCAACUUUGAAGUUCAAUUUCAAACGGUCGUUGAGAAGAAUCCUUUGCAUACGAAUUAAAUACACGAUGGGGUAUUGUAAGUGGUAGAGUGGCCUUGCUACCAUGAUCCACUGAUAUUUAUC
rnacentral:rRNA from 1 species